GUCCACGCCCUAACGAUGUCAACUGGUUGUUGGACGGCUUGCUGUUCAGUAACGAAGCUAACGCGUGAAGUUGACCGCCUGGGGAGUACGGCCGCAAGGUUGAAACUCAAAGGAAUUGACGGGACCCGCACAAGCGGUGGAUGAUGUGGUUUAAUUCGAUGCAACGCGAAAACCUUACCUACCCUUGACAUGCCUGGAAUCCUGUAGAGAUGCAGGAGUGCUCGAAAGAGAACCAGGACACAGGUGCUGCAUGGCCGUCGU
rnacentral:rRNA from 1 species